GGUGCGUAACGCGUAUGCAACCUACCUUUUACAGGGGCAUAACACUGAGAAAUUGGUACUAAUUCCCCAUAAUAUCUGAGACGGCAAUCGUUUUGGGUUGAAAACUCCGGUGGUAAAAGAUGGGCAUGCGUUGUAUUAGCUAGUUGGUGAGGUAACGGCUCACCAAGGCGACGAUACAUAGGGGGACUGACGAGGUUAACCCCCCACAUUGGUACUGAGACACGGACCAAACUCCUACGGAAGGCAGCAG
rnacentral:rRNA from 1 species